GUGCGACGCUCCUGAAACGAACGCACCAUGGUUCGAGCGAGCUGUCACUUUUUUUACUCGCGCGUGUCCGAUCAUGUUCGUGUUGACGGUGUUUGCUGAAGUUUUAGGGGAAACCCGGAUUUUUCGCGUUGAGGCGGUCGUUUAAGCCAAUUGGCCACAUCCGGCGAUUGGCAAUCAAGUUGCCGAACGCGAUCCUAGUGUUGGUUGGACGGAUGUUCGAAGUUCGAAUUGGAGCGGCUCCGGGAUGGCGGAACUUUGGGGACUUCUUCCACACGUUUCCGGCAGAAAAAAUCUGCCGAGUCACCGAUCCGGAAAAGCAAAUUUGAAAUUGUCAACCAUUUUGGGGACUUCUCCCACCGGGUUCGCUAACGGGACACAACCCAACGGAUGCGUUCGAUUGGGAGAGGACCCGGCGCCUGCUGCGGUCACUUUCAGCCGUGUUUGUUCCGGAUGGUGAGCUCGUCUCGCCUGGAGGCGAAAAUCGUUAGGGGCUAAUUUCACUAAGGAUUGUGCUUCUAGAUUACGCGAAUGUCUAUCCCAAUUUCGAAGCAGUUGAUCCGGCACCGGCUACGGACAUCCCGAAUAAUUUCAAACAGUGCGGAUUGAAGCGGAAUAACAAAAGAAAACGACAC